UACGUAGGGGGCAAGCGUUAUCCGGAUUUACUGGGUGUAAAGGGCGUGUAGGCGGGAGAGCAAGUCAGACGUGAAAUUCCAGGGCUCAACCCUGGAACUGCGUUUGAAACUGUUCUUCUUGAGUGAUGGAGAGGCAGGCGGAAUUCCGUGUGUAGCGGUGGAAUGCGUAGAUAUACGGAGGAACACCAGUGGCGAAGGCGGCCUGCUGGACAUUAACUGACGCUGAGGCGCGAAAGCGUGGGGAGCAAACAGG
rnacentral:rRNA from 1 species